CAAGUGACCCGGGUUUU
rnacentral:rRNA from 1 species